rnacentral:lncRNA from 1 species
GUAACCUUUGGAGGUUCGACUGCUAGGUCGGGAGCUGACCUGGUGCUCAGUCUUGGAAGGGAUAUGUGAGAGGGAGCUGGGGCUUAUGUUCAUGGAGGUCCGAGGAUACUUCUGAGCGGGCAUGAUCAUUUUCUUGUGUUGAGAACAGAGUAUUAAGGUUUGUUUUGUUCAGAUGGGUUCUGAUAGGAGUGUAGUUGAUGGGUCUCUGAUGAGUUGUGACCCUUUUCGUUCCUUUGAAGUACGACCUGGAUCGACUGAUAUGUCAGGUAUGAGUGUUCGACAGUUGUUAUGGUCAAUGAUCUGAUUUCAUUAGUAGCACCAAGAUAAUUAGAGCUGGAGGUAUGAUUUUGAGAUGGGUCAUUCGAUGAGCGAAUGGCAUGAUGAUAUCUUGCAUGGUCGGUCGUGCAGGGAGUCAGACUACUAGAGUUUCCAGGUUCUGAAGAGUCAGAACUAGAACCGCAACGGCAGACGGAUCUGUCUUGUUGCGGGAUAGGGAGUUCCUAUAUGGGUUGGGUGUUUUUGGGAAAGAGAUUGUUGUAUGACAUGAGACGNNNNNNNNNNNNNNNNNNNNNNNNNNNNNNNNNNNNNNNNNNNNNNNNNNNNNNNNNNNNNNNNNNNNNNNNNNNNNNNNNNNNNNNNNNNNNNNNNNNNUAUCCGCAGAGUGUAACUGCUGGUGAGGGUAUUUAUUGUGGUUAGGAAUUCUUCGAGUUGUAGUGGCUGAGUUCGAGCCGGUUGGCUUGUGAGGUCCAGUUUCGAUUGUAGAGAACUUCUAUUUCGAUGAAUGGAUUGUUAUAUGUACUUUGGGAAGGGAAACAAUUGAUUUAGCAACCAACUUCAGAGUCGGUAUGAGGAUUCUCGCAUGAGUUUUGAGCAGUAGAGGAUGGGUUUCGGAUUGUCGUCUACGUGUUCUUAGUCAUUGGUAACUCUUACGUGUUUCAAAUCAUGGGUUGGAGUAUUUCGAGGUUAUGAGUUGUGCGAGAGGGAUAUAAGUGGUCGUACCGAGAUGUUGUGAGAUUCUGAGAUAGUGUACCGCGGUAUCCGAGUGUGAUGCCGUGAGUGGAAGAUCAAUGGGUGAGGCAAGACAUCAUGAGAUUUUGAAAUGUUGUAUCAGGGUAUCCGAGUAUGAUGUUCUAUAUUGUUGGAUCAUUAUGAGAUCUAGGUUUGUCAGACGACAAGUGGAAGAUCUGGUGACUAUAUUUCCAUGUAAGAGGUCGUUAGUUAAUUGUCGCCAGACGCGGAUUGUCCAAGNCUAUAUUUCCAUGUAAGAGGUCGUUAGUUAAUUGUCGCCAGACGCGGAUUGUCCAAGGGUGUGACUGUGUUGAGAAAAGUGCCUUGUCUACGAGAAUUUACAUAAAUAGUGGUGGUGCAUAAUCUGGGGAGGUGUGUGCACAUAUCUAUGUUGGCCGUGGGGUAUGAGUUAGUGAACGCAGUGUGGUGAUCACCUGAGGAUGAGAUGGUGGAGUGAUAAAACAAAGUGUCGUGAUACUGCAGGGAGCCAUAGUAUUCACUGGUUAGCGAGAGAGUGUUGUGAUCCUGCGGGGAGCCGGAGUACUCACUAGUCAGCGAGAGAGUGUCGUGAUACUGCAGGGAGCCAUAGUAUCCACUGGUUAGCGAAAGAGUUUUGUGAUACUGCGGGGAGCCGUAGCAUUCACGAGUCAGUGAGAGGGUGUCGUAAGUCUGCGAGGAGCCGUAGCAUUCAUGAGUCAAUGAAGGAGUGUCUUAAGACUACGGGGGAACUGUAGCACUCAGUAGUCAAUAAGAGAGAUAUUUGAAACUAUGGGGACCUGUAGUAUUCACGAGUUAGAUCAUUACGCAGAGGAGUUCUUAUGCUUGGGUAGCCUUAACAAUUUAGUCUUUGGGAACCAGGUAGCUGGACCAGGGGCGAGACUGGGGUCUCCGUGACGGUCAGGAAUCAUUAUAUCCCGAGUUGAGUAGGGGUUAUCACACUCAGAAGGAAUUGGAGAGAUAGUGAGUGCAUGAAUUCGCGAAUCCUAGGUCAUGGGUUGAGUAUCAGAUUGGAAAUGAGUGGUACCAAUUCUACUGUUGAAUCAGACUCUCGAGUUUGAGUUUAGAUCAAUUUGUGUAUUGAGUAGACAUGAUGAGAUUCCGGAUUCAUAGAUGGGAUUCAUUUUGAGGGUUAUUGAUUUCCAUCUGAUAUCUUAGACACGAGUGGGUCAGUUCAUUGUUACGGGAAGGACCGCGAGACACAUGGAACUAGAAAUAAUAGACGACAGAGGUCAGAGGUGAGGCGACUUCAUAUGGGGUUGUAGUAUUCGCUUGAGGUAAGGCGAACUUUGUGACUUGUGUGUCUCGAUGGGCCGAGAUAGUUAUUGUGAGAAGGAAGCCUGUAUAGUCGUUUUAUUGGGAGUGCAAUGGGUAACCUUUGGAGGUUCGACUGCUAGGUCGGGAGCUGACCUGGUGCUCAGUCUUGGAAGGGAUAUGUGAGAGGGAGCUGGGGCUUAUGUUCAUGGAGGUCCGAGGAUACUUCUGAGCGGGCAUGAUCAUUUUCUUGUGUUGAGAACAGAGUAUUAAGGUUUGUUUUGUUCAGAUGGGUUCUGAUAGGAGUGUAGUUGAUGGGUCUCUGAUGAGUUGUGACCCUUUUCGUUCCUUUGAAGUACGACCUGGAUCGACUGAUAUGUCAGGUAUGAGUGUUCGACAGUUGUUAUGGUCAAUGAUCUGAUUUCAUUAGUAGCACCAAGAUAAUUAGAGCUGGAGGUAUGAUUUUGAGAUGGGUCAUUCGAUGAGCGAAUGGCAUGAUGAUAUCUUGCAUGGUCGGUCGUGCAGGGAGUCAGACUACUAGAGUUUCCAGGUUCUGAAGAGUCAGAACUAGAACCGCAACGGCAGACGGAUCUGUCUUGUUGCGGGAUAGGGAGUUCCUAUAUGGGUUGGGUGUUUUUGGGAAAGAGAUUGUUGUAUGACAUGAGACGACAGUGGUGCCAUUGGAGGAUAUUCAGGUGGAUGACCGCCUAAACUAUAUUGAGAGGCUGGUUGCGAUUUUGGAUAGAAAAGUAAAGAACCUGAGGAACAAAGAGGUGCAUUUAUUUAAGGUGUGGUGGGAGCACCGCAGAGGAUCCGAGUGGACUUAGGAGUCGGAGUCCGCGAUACGAGAGCAAUACCCCGAGUUGUUUCCGGAGGCUGACUUCGAGGGCGAAGUCGGAUUCUAGUGGGGGAGAAUUGUAACAUCCCGACUCCCAGGUGUCUUAUUUAAUAUAUUGUAUUCAUGAGAACACGGCGACUCGACGAGUUGGGGAGCACCAACUCGCCGAGUAUAGACUAAUUGGACGCAAGACUUUUAAAGUCUACUCGACGAUUCGGAGGACCCUGAAUCGACGAGUAGUGGCUGUGCGAGGAAACCCUAAUUUUUCCAGGUUUGUGUACUAUUUAAAGGGCCUUAAGCCCUCAUUUCCGUCUCCCUAAUCACCCUUGAGUACUGUGAAGAACCCUAAUCGAGUUUUAGCAUGUUGCGUGAGAAGGAGAGGCCAUCUAGAGCAUUUUGGUGCACUUUUAGAGAAGAUCAUUUUGGUGCACUUAGAGCAUUUUGUCUUGAAGCAAGGAAAGAACAUUUGGAUAUAGAGGUUCUCAGUGGAUAGCGUCUAUUUGAGCUAAUAAAUGCUAUCUUGAUCAUUUUUCUUGUAAGAUCUUAGUUUGGGGAGUUCUAGGUUUUUUCCUCAUCCCUUUUGUGUCCUUUGAGUCCUUUGAGCAUGAUUUGAGGUUGAAACCUCAGAUCUGGAGUGUAGGAGGUCUUGUGAGUCCAAAGACCCGAACAUUAUUGAGCUAGAGAUAAGAUCUUGUGCAUCUAACCCUUUGGUAGAGCUUGGAUUGGCAUUAUGGAGAAAAUAUGCCAUGCAUGAAUGUAAAGAUUGAAGCUUUACGUCAUAAUCGAGCAUUAGGAAGUCAGAUCUGGAGUAUUUGCCUUAAGGGACUCGACGAGUCAACGAGCUCACUCGAUGAGUCGACUAGGGUUUUCCCCGAUGAGUCUGGAUAUGGUUAACUCGGUGAGUUGAUGAGACAACUUGACGACUUAAGUUGGGUUUUCGCGAUGUUCUGCAUGAACAACGGGGACUCGACGAGUCAUAUAUAUGCACUCGGCGAGUCAGGUCAAGAUAGAC